CAAAGAUUAGGUCUAUUCAUUCUUUCUAACUAUUUUGUGUACCUUUUAAAAUUGAGGUUCAAAAGGAAGUUGUAAUGGUUUCAAAACAAUUGAGAUCAGGGAUCUCUAAAUGGGGCUUUGAGGCACCGGGAAACAUACCCUUACCCUAACCUGCAAAUGGGACUCUGAGAAUGUAAAUGCUUAGGUCAAGUUACCAACUAAAUAACAAAGGCUAAGCCCAGAUAUCAGUUCUAUAAUUUGAGGUGCCCCCACCAUUAUUUUCUCUUGAUCCUCAAGUUUCUUACUCUUUUUACUCAUUUCAAUAUUGUCCAGCUGUAGAUGAAUUCUAUUUUUAGAAGUUAGUGUGGUUACAUUUAAACCUAAUUUUCAAACUGACUUGCUUGAGAUCCAAAGCACAUUUUUAAGCGUCAGAGCUCUAGGAACAGAAAAUAGCAUCCCUGGGAUGACAGGAAGGAUGCCCUGUGCCUGGAGGAGGUCUCUCUCCAGGAUUCAGCACACCGUGGAGCUGUGGGAAGUGUGUUAUCUCUGUCAUGAGAGAGAAAGGAGUGGCUGGCUCAGCAAGAUUAGAGCCUCUCUCUGGAUUGUUCCUCAGAACCAGAAGAACUGUGUGGAGUGGCAGCAACUGGAGGAAGCAGAAUGUCCCCGAGCAAGAUUGUCAAGAGAAAAAAGUUACAUGUAUAAAAUCUACAGUAGAAUUGGAAGAUGGAUCUAAUGAGAAUAACACUAAGGAAACACCAUCCUUCAAAAACUAAAAGCUCCUUGAUGAGGUAGACACCAGGCGAAAGGCAAGAUGCCAGAGUAUAAAUGACUUUGAGGUGUGUUCAGUCAGACAAGAAAAUGAAGUGUCCCAGAAGAGGAAAUGCAGUAAGUGUUGGGGAUAAAAAGAAGGUUAGAAAGCGAACAAUUUCAGAAGGGAAGAAAUGACCUCUAAAAGGGAAGCUGGGAUGAUAGCAAAGGCAAUGUCAACGUCCUCACAAUUUCACUUAGAUUUUCCUGGCUACUCUGCAGAAGGCAUGAUAAGAUAAAUGCUUAUUGAUUUCAAGAUCAAGGCAACAGGAUCCUUUCUGUUUAAUUAUUUCUUUGUAAGUUAAAAACUAAAUGCUUUGGCAAGUGCUGUAAAUACAAAGGGCAGGGGUAUUCAGUGCCCUUAGAAUCAAUGGCAAGUUCAAGCUGUGUGUGACAAGGGAUAACCAUUAUUCAUCCAUUCAUUCUAACAAAGUCUGUAAAUGACUACCAUGCAUUAGGUGAUGGUCUGGUCACUGAAAUAUCAGAGACAGGUAAAGCUCAGUCUCUGUUCUUAAGGACCUCAGGGUUUAGAAGAAGAAAAAGACAUAUAAGUAAGUACAAUAGAAAUAUAAACAAGAACCAAAGGUAGCUCAGGGGAAGUGAGUAACUCUUAGAGGAAAAUAUUAAAUAAAGGAUUUCUGGAUGAGAGGAUGUUUGAACUGAAUUCUGAAGAUGAAUAAAAGUCCUUCUGGAGAAAUAAAAACACCAUUUUGGCAGAAAUAAUAGUAUAUGUGAAUACAUUUAGAACAAAGCAUGGAAACUAUGUUUAGGAUAUUGUCAUAAGCUUGGUAUCUUUAGAGCAUUUUGUGUAAGUGGUGAGGGGAGAAAAUGGGAGGAGAUAAAAAACGUAAACGUAGGGUAGGGUAGAUUAUGAAUGGAUAGAAAUGUCUCUUAAAGCAUCUGAACUAUACCCAAAUGCCUAGGAGGAGAA
rnacentral:lncRNA from 10 species